AUGCAGCUAUUGGUUCUCCUUUGUCUAGCAAUAUUUGCUGUUCCAAGUGAUCAGAAGUUGCCAUCUCUUUAUCUGCUUGACAGUAUAGUCAAGAAUAUUGGAAAAGAUUAUGUUAAACAUUUUUCUUCAAGAUUACCUGAGGUGUUCUGCAAGGCCUAUAGACAGGUUGAUCCUCCUGUUCAUACUAGCAUGAGACACCUUUUCGGAACAUGGAAAGGAGUGUUUUCUCCGGCUUCACUGCAAAUGAUUGAGAAGGAACUUGGUUUUCAAUCAUCUACUAAUGGGUCAUCAGGUGCUGCACCAUCGAAGGCCGAUUCUCCAUCCCAGCGCCCAUCCCACAGCAUACAUGUAAACCCAAAAUAUUUGGAAGCAAGACAGCAGCUCCAACAACCAAAUAAGGGGAUUCUGGGAGCCGGUGCCAAGACACCUAUAAUUUCUGAUGCUGAUGAUGUUAUCGAAAGGGGUAAUAGGAUUGGAAUUGAUAAAGGCACAGGGAGACGACUGGAUACUCUGAACUCUAGGCCUCGUGCUCAGAAGGAUACUUUUAGUAACCCCAUUCAUGAAAAGCCAGACAGAGAUGUGAGGGGCCCUGGAAUUGCGGGAGCUGGUCAAGUUCGCUCAAAGCCCAAAGGCCAAGAUGGAAUUGUGGGUUCAUAUUACACUGGAGGUGUUGGUUCCCCUGAAGAAAUAUUUGACAGACGCAACCAUUUGUAUGCAUCUAAGGAUGUUCGCUCUUCCGGCUCUGUACGUUUGGACAGUGCACUUCUCCCAACUCCGGUCAGUAAUUCUGAUAGGAUUGGUAGAUUGUCAUCAUCUGAUAAAAGCUGGAAGAACUCUGAGGAAGAAGAGUACAUCUGGGACGACAUACGUUCUCAAGGAGCAGAUUAUGGAGGUGCCAGUUCUGCAAGAAAAGGAGAACCCUUGGCUGAUGAUGUCAAUAUUAGAAGCUUCCAUAGGGCUAAUUGGGCAGAGCCUGCAGACCCGUUGGACCCUGACUUCCACAAACAAGAUACCAUCCCAAGAUUUGGACAUCCAACAAGCCAAGACAGAAGACUUGCACGGUACAUGGAUCAUGCAGAGUAUCUUCAUAGUAAGCGUGAGGGGGACCCAAGAAUUGAUAGGGAAAUGUGGCCUGAAGGACAACAGUUCCCGGAAUCUCGUGGCUCCUCUGUAUGGUUAUCCCAGGAAAAACCUCGUCCAGACAUUGGGCGGGAUCCCAGGAUUUCAAGGUUUUCUAAUCAAUCACCAAGCAUCACUUCAUCUGUACCUGUUGGAUUAUCAGCGCCCUAUGCUGGACGAUCAAGCCUUGAAAGUGCAAAACAAAAAUAUUGGCCACCUUCCUCGCCACCUCUCCAGGCACGUGAGAGCUCCCCAAGUUCCUCGGAGCAUGACAUUUAUGCUUCCAGGCCAUUUCUGCCAUUGGGUCAAAAUCCCCAGGAAGAGCAUAACCAAAGAGCUCAUACCUUGCCUCAAAAUUCUGCGAAUUCUCAGGGUCGGCCUAGUCUGCAAGCAGCUCUGUCACAGGCUUCUCAGCAGACUCAAAAGCACCCUGCUGUGCAGUCAAAGCCACAUCCGAAGCCAUUUCAUCAACCCUUUUCACAAGAAAAUUCCUCAUCGCUAUUUAGACCGUCUGUCCAUCUGCCUCUGUCUACCGGAAUGGAAGAGCAGUCUGAAGAGGUGUCCUUGCCCAGUGGUUCCGCACAUGCAAAGUCAGAUCAGAUAAGUGCUAGUAAUUUGUUGGCCGGUCUUUUUAAGGGUGGAUUCAUACCAAACACAAGUGAUCACGCUGUCCCACAUUCACAUGGGUUGGCAUCUCUUCCAUCUUCCUCUGCCAGCGAAAAUGCCCCUUCGAAGCCUCAUGCACCAAACUCUCUCCGCCCACCUUUGCCGCCAGGUCCGCCACCAACACAGAGUGCUGAGAAAGCUGCUGCACCACUGUCAAGUCUUCUCAGUUCUCUGGUUGCAAAGGGCCUAAUUUCUUCACCGUCCACCGAUUCAUCUGCUGUUGCAAGAAAGCCCAGUAAAUCAAGUCUGAGCACAUCAGAUGUCAGUGCUUCAGCUCCACCUCCACCAAUCGUCCAGCCUUCAGUUGCUAAGGAGACACCUGCCCCUAUAAAAGCUUUGUUGCCCAAACCUCCUGUAGUCGAGAUGGCUGACCUAAUCGGCCUCGAGUUCAAGCCAGUGGUGCUUCGCGAGCACCGUACAGAGGUGGUCAACAGACUCUUUGAUGACCAAAGCCAUCGAUGCAGAAGAUGUGGUUUAAGAUUCAGACUUGAAGAUGAGCUCAGUGCACACACUGCCUGCAAUGGACCAGAGGAGGCUAGAAAUACUGGCAUCGCACCUGAAAGAUGGUACCCUAGCAAGAGCCGCUGGAUUGACAGAUUACCUGAACCGCAGAGCAUCUUCCUGGACUCUGCAUCUGAUUCAGACCUGGGAACCGCAGAGGAAGCUUGUGAGUUUAUGGUCCCUGCAGAUGAGAGCCAGAUUAUCUGCUGUCUUUGUGGGGAGCAGUUUGAUGACAUGUAUUCCAUCGAUAGGAGCGAGUGGAUGUACAAGGAUGCUGCGUAUUAUGAUCGCUCAAAGGCAGAAGGUGGCAGCUCCCAAAGUAAAGAGCUCGCACCCAUAGUCCAUGCAAGAUGUAUGCCAGGAAUCUCAAACGAUGGCAUGCAGGUGGAUUAG
rnacentral:rRNA from 1 species